GCCCGAUUAGCUAGUUGGUGAGGUAACGGCUCACCAAGGCAAUGAUCGGUAGCUGGUCUGAGAGGAUGGCCAGCCACACUGGAACUGAGACACGGUCCAGACUCCUACGGGAGGCAGCAGUGGGGAAUCUUGCACAAUGGGCGAAAGCCUGAUGCAGCGACGCCGCGUGGGGGAUGAAGCUUUUCGGAGUGUAAACCCCUUUCGACUGGGACGAAUGCCUCGCAAGAGGAGUGACGGUACCAGUAUAAGAAGCCCCGGCUAACUACGUGCCAGCAGCCGCGGUAAGACGUAGGGGGCCAGCGUUGUUCGGAAUUACUGGGUGUAAAGGGUUCGUAGGCGGUGUGGCAAGUCGGGAGUGAAAUCUCUGGGCUCAACCCAGAGACUGCUUCCGAAACUGCUGUGCUUGAGUGUGAGAGAGGCUCGUGGAAUUGCAGGUGUAGCGGUGAAAUGCGUAGAUAUCUGCAGGAACACCCGUGGCGAAAGCGGCGAGCUGGAUCACUACUGACGCUGAGGAACGAAAGCUAGGGGAGCA
rnacentral:rRNA from 1 species